rnacentral:rRNA from 1 species
UUAAGCGACUAAGCGUACACGGUGGAUGCCCUGGCAGUCAGAGGCGAUGAAGGACGUGCUAAUCUGCGAUAAGCGUCGGUAAGGUGAUAUGAACCGUUAUAACCGGCGAUUUCCGAAUGGGGAAACCCAGUGUGUUUCGACACACUAUCAUUAACUGAAUCCAUAGGUUAAUGAGGCGAACCGGGGGAACUGAAACAUCUAAGUACCCCGAGGAAAAGAAAUCAACCGAGAUUCCCCCAGUAGCGGCGAGCGAACGGGGAGCAGCCCAGAGCCUGAAUCAGUGUGUGUGUUAGUGGAAGCGUCUGGAAAGGCGCGCGAUACAGGGUGACAGCCCCGUACACAAAAAUGCACAUGCUGUGAGCUCGAUGAGUAGGGCGGGACACGUGGUAUCCUGUCUGAAUAUGGGGGGACCAUCCUCCAAGGCUAAAUACUCCUGACUGACCGAUAGUGAACCAGUACCGUGAGGGAAAGGCGAAAAGAACCCCGGCGAGGGGAGUGAAAAAGAACCUGAAACCGUGUACGUACAAGCAGUGGGAGCACGCUUAGGCGUGUGACUGCGUACCUUUUGUAUAAUGGGUCAGCGACUUAUAUUCUGUAGCAAGGUUAACCGAAUAGGGGAGCCGAAGGGAAACCGAGUCUUAACUGGGCGUUAAGUUGCAGGGUAUAGACCCGAAACCCGGUGAUCUAGCCAUGGGCAGGUUGAAGGUUGGGUAACACUAACUGGAGGACCGAACCGACUAAUGUUGAAAAAUUAGCGGAUGACUUGUGGCUGGGGGUGAAAGGCCAAUCAAACCGGGAGAUAGCUGGUUCUCCCCGAAAGCUAUUUAGGUAGCGCCUCGUGAAUUCAUCUCCGGGGGUAGAGCACUGUUUCGGCAAGGGGGUCAUCCCGACUUACCAACCCGAUGCAAACUGCGAAUACCGGAGAAUGUUAUCACGGGAGACACACGGCGGGUGCUAACGUCCGUCGUGAAGAGGGAAACAACCCAGACCGCCAGCUAAGGUCCCAAAGUCAUGGUUAAGUGGGAAACGAUGUGGGAAGGCCCAGACAGCCAGGAUGUUGGCUUAGAAGCAGCCAUCAUUUAAAGAAAGCGUAAUAGCUCACUGGUCGAGUCGGCCUGCGCGGAAGAUGUAACGGGCUAAACCAUGCACCGAAGCUGCGGCAGCGACGCUUAUGCGUUGUUGGGUAGGGGAGCGUUCUGUAAGCCUGCGAAGGUGUGCUGUGAGGCAUGCUGGAGGUAUCAGAAGUGCGAAUGCUGACAUAAGUAACGAUAAAGCGGGUGAAAAGCCCGCUCGCCGGAAGACCAAGGGUUCCUGUCCAACGUUAAUCGGGGCAGGGUGAGUCGACCCCUAAGGCGAGGCCGAAAGGCGUAGUCGAUGGGAAACAGGUUAAUAUUCCUGUACUUGGUGUUACUGCGAAGGGGGGACGGAGAAGGCUAUGUUGGCCGGGCGACGGUUGUCCCGGUUUAAGCGUGUAGGCUGGUUUUCCAGGCAAAUCCGGAAAAUCAAGGCUGAGGUGUGAUGACGAGGCACUACGGUGCUGAAGCAACAAAUGCCCUGCUUCCAGGAAAAGCCUCUAAGCAUCAGGUAACAUCAAAUCGUACCCCAAACCGACACAGGUGGUCAGGUAGAGAAUACCAAGGCGCUUGAGAGAACUCGGGUGAAGGAACUAGGCAAAAUGGUGCCGUAACUUCGGGAGAAGGCACGCUGAUAUGUAGGUGAAGUCCCUCGCGGAUGGAGCUGAAAUCAGUCGAAGAUACCAGCUGGCUGCAACUGUUUAUUAAAAACACAGCACUGUGCAAACACGAAAGUGGACGUAUACGGUGUGACGCCUGCCCGGUGCCGGAAGGUUAAUUGAUGGGGUUAGCGCAAGCGAAGCUCUUGAUCGAAGCCCCGGUAAACGGCGGCCGUAACUAUAACGGUCCUAAGGUAGCGAAAUUCCUUGUCGGGUAAGUUCCGACCUGCACGAAUGGCGUAAUGAUGGCCAGGCUGUCUCCACCCGAGACUCAGUGAAAUUGAACUCGCUGUGAAGAUGCAGUGUACCCGCGGCAAGACGGAAAGACCCCGUGAACCUUUACUAUAGCUUGACACUGAACAUUGAGCCUUGAUGUGUAGGAUAGGUGGGAGGCUUAGAAGUGUGGACGCCAGUCUGCAUGGAGCCGACCUUGAAAUACCACCCUUUAAUGUUUGAUGUUCUAACGUUGACCCGUAAUCCGGGUUGCGGACAGUGUCUGGUGGGUAGUUUGACUGGGGCGGUCUCCUCCUAAAGAGUAACGGAGGAGCACGAAGGUUGGCUAAUCCUGGUCGGACAUCAGGAGGUUAGUGCAAUGGCAUAAGCCAGCUUGACUGCGAGCGUGACGGCGCGAGCAGGUGCGAAAGCAGGUCAUAGUGAUCCGGUGGUUCUGAAUGGAAGGGCCAUCGCUCAACGGAUAAAAGGUACUCCGGGGAUAACAGGCUGAUACCGCCCAAGAGUUCAUAUCGACGGCGGUGUUUGGCACCUCGAUGUCGGCUCAUCACAUCCUGGGGCUGAAGUAGGUCCCAAGGGUAUGGCUGUUCGCCAUUUAAAGUGGUACGCGAGCUGGGUUUAGAACGUCGUGAGACAGUUCGGUCCCUAUCUGCCGUGGGCGCUGGAGAACUGAGGGGGGCUGCUCCUAGUACGAGAGGACCGGAGUGGACGCAUCACUGGUGUUCGGGUUGUCAUGCCAAUGGCACUGCCCGGUAGCUAAAUGCGGAAGAGAUAAGUGCUGAAAGCAUCUAAGCACGAAACUUGCCCCGAGAUGAGUUCUCCCUGACCCUUUAAAGGUCCUGAAGGAACGUUGAAGACGACGACGUUGAUAGGCCGGGUGUGUAAGCGCAGCGAUGCGUUGAGCUAACCGGUACUAAUGAACCGUGAGGCUUAACCUU